rnacentral:tRNA from 2 species
CGGGCUGUAGCGCAGCUUGGUAGCGCACUUGUCUGGGGGACAAGGGGUCGUGGGUUCAAAUCCCGCCAGCCCGACCA